UACACUAGAAAAUGUAUAACACGAGGCAACUUCAGCGCUAUCUCUGUUAAUUCUUUUAUUGUUUGAAAUUACAUAUCUAUUAAUUCUCAACCACUAGGCACAUAUAAGCAGAACUUGUCACUUAGUAGAGGGAACUGCACUAGAAAUCUCUCUCAACAGAAUAGCAAAUAUCCAUAUGUCUUCGUUUAUUUAUACUGAGAAUUAAUGCUGUACAUAAAUCCUGAAAUCAUAGAACCUAUACUUAGGGCCUGUUUGGAUAGUUACCCCUGCUCGCCAGGCUAGAGUUGCGACGCGGCCACAAAUGUUGCGAGCCACAGGUUGCAUACGUAUACGCGGCAUGCCUAGGCUUCGGCUGUGGACCAAGCAUGUGCCUAUGCAUGUGCGGCAGGCGGCAGCCACAACUCUGGCUAGGCAAUCUACGGCUAUGAUCCAAACAGACCCUUAGAUGUGACAAUUUAAGGAGAUAAAACAACAUAUUUUCCAACAAGAUAUAUAAGCAUGUGUCACCUUACGUCGCGAGAUGAUUUCAGUUGCGUAUCCUGGGCUGCAGAUUCAGCUUGAUUGAAUGAGUCAUUAGGAGAGCCGAAUGUAUCCGCGACAGAACUCGGCACAUAAGAACUUGAGCCGAGGAAGCAGCAGGUCUUUAAUUUAGGAAGUGACUCCAGAGGUUUAUGCCAUUAAUAGGCUGAAGGAAAAGAGCUGUACGCCUGUACAGAGCUAAGCCAAGU